UAUUUUGAAAUAAUUACAGAUUCCCAGGAAGUUGCAAAGAUGGCAAGUCCCAUGGGCCCUUCACCCAGUCUCUGGAUGGUUGUAUCUUACAUCACUAUAGUGCAAUGUCAAAACCAGAAACUGACACUGGGGCAAUGUCUAUGAAUACUGAAUUCUUGUAAUCACUGCAGUAAAGAUACAGAACCACUCUAUCACCACAAAGAUCUCCCCUGUGCCAUUCUCUCAUAGUUACAUCUCACCUUCCGCCACCAUCCUUAAUCCCCGGCGACCACUAAUUUGUUCUCCAUGUCUGUACAUUUUUCAUUUCCAGAGUGUUCUAUAAAUGGAAUGUUCUAUACACGGAUUGGGUUUCUUCACUCUGCAUACUGUCCUUGAGAUCCACCCACAUUGUGUGUAGCGACAUUUCAUUCAUUUCCACGGCUGAGCAGUAUUCAUGGUGUGGACACACCAAGUUCGUUUAACCAUUUGCCCGUUGAAGACACGUUGGCCGCUUCUGGUUUGCGGCUAUUGCACAUAAAGCUGUCCCGAGCAGUCAUGCCCAGGCUUUGUGUUUUCAUUUCUCAGAGCUAAGCGCCCAGGAGUGCAAGUGCCAGGUGAUAUGCUGGGUGUACGUUUAGACUUUCAAGAGGUCGCCAGAUUUCUCUAGAGCGGAGGCGCCACUCCACAUUCCCAUUGGCACCGGGCCCUACCAUCUGCUGGGCGCUUGUCUGGGAGCUGCAGAUAAGACAGAUAAGGUAGGGACAUCUCUCAUGGGGUACUCACAGGCCAGUGUUGGUGUGGAGUAGAGAAAAAAAAAAAAAACAACGGAUCACUUCAGCCACAGCACAGCCAAUGGUGUAAAAAGGCAUGGAUGUGGUGUGCAGUAACACAGGGGCGUGGAACACCGGCCAAGGAAUGUGGGAGAGUCGGAAGGACAAGUCUCCUCCUGAGUGGCAGACAAUGGACCCCGGGCAUUCCGAGCAGAAGCAAGAGAGCUCAUGCAGAUGUGGUUGAGUAAUUCAGAGCUCAGGGCGGCCGAGCUAGGAGGCCAGAGGGCACUGUGGGAUGCUUUGGGGAAUUCCUUGGAGUUGGGUUGGCAUCUCGCAAGGUACUCCCUGGUCAUGUAACCAUGCACUAGAUACUAACUUACCUCAGGCCCAAUUUUCUUACAGGCAAAAGGAGUUUCGUAAGUGCCUACCUCCCAGACCCCAGCAGGAUUAGAAAUAAUACACAUAACACAUCCAGAACAGUGCCAGGGAGAUAGAAUUAGACGCUUCAUAAACACUAGCCAUGGAAAAUUCUUUUGGAAAAACAAAGGAAGUUUGAAGAUUGGCUUGCAGGAGGGAACUCCACCAAAGUCCUGCCCCUUCCCGAGGGUCUCUCCCUGGGGCCCAUCCCUCCUUGGUUCGUCCUGCCUGAGGGAAGGGGCGAACCUCCUCCCAUCUACCUCAGGCCCAUCUCCCUGGACCUGGGACCGUACCCUUGCAUCUCCCUGGUACCAGGACGAUCAACACGGAUUCAGACAUGCUUUUGGUUCCUUUCCAGCAGUGCUUACACCCCCCUGGGCCACCAGGCGAUCACCAGGCCUUUCUCUCUGAGCCCCCUUUCCUAGGAGAGUUGUUUCUUAUCACUGCCUUCACUUCCUCUCCUCCCGCCCCUUCACUCAGUGUGGUCUGGCUCCCUGCCCCCACCCCAGGGACUUCCCUGGUCAAGAUCAUCGUGGCCUCUGUGACACCAACAUGAUUCACUCUCUCUCACCCGAUUUCCCUGCAGCGUUCGAGAAGGUUGACCACUUCCUCCUUCUGGAGACAUUCUUCAGAGGCUUUCAGAGGUGGUGCCCAUGCAGGACUUUUCCCGGGGUCCUUGGGGGAGCCUCUUCUGAACUCCUCGGCCUCUCUCCUGAACCCCAGACCCCUGGAUCCAACUGUCUAUUGAAUAUCUAUCUACACCUCGAACUCAACGUGAGUGAAGUCAAGUCCCCCCCGAACCCUCCCCAGACCAGCUCCCCCUCCCCAGAUGCCAUCUUCCAGAGAACAGCACCACCAUCUUCCAACAGUCAAGAACAGGAUGGGAAAACAAUGUUGGAGAGGAGUACCUGAUGCUGCCAGUUCCUGAGGCUUUUGAGGGUUUUACUGUGGCUAUCAUUGACCUCGAUGACAUAGCAAAGAUGAGGAGACAGGACCGGAAGUGUGAGCACGAUUUGUCCACAGUCACCCAGUGCGUGAACUGCAGACUCACCCCUCCUGGGAGCCUCUCUUCAGGACUCUCUUCCUCCACCCCUCCACCGUGCUGGGUGGCUGACAACCCGGCAGGGUGGCUGAAGGUUUACUCUUAAGGAACCAGAGCCCGUGUCAAAUUUUGUGUGGCACUUAUCCCACAAGGGGGUCCACCCUACUUUGCCUAUCAGACAGUAUAAUGCUCAAGAUUUAGCUUUUUCUUUGUCCCCCGGAGUCCCAUUUGAGGUUAACAAUGACCACGCUUAAUUGAACCACAGCGGGAUAUUUACACUGCAGAGAGCAGGAGACCCUAUACCAAUGUCCCUGUUUGUGUGUUUUUUUUUUUUUAAACUUGUUUUCCUGUGCCACUGCGCAUGGCCACACCACGGGCCUCUACGUCUUUCUCAUCUGCCACGAUUCACCAGGCUUUCACAUUAAUCGAGACAUAAGCUGAGUGUCCGGUGUGUGCCAGGCACACAACUGGGCCUUUCGCAUGGAUCAUGUCAGCUAAACUUUGCGACAACGCCGCAACGGAGGUUAUGACUCUCCUCAUCUUACAACGAGGAAGUUGGCUUGAUAGGGUGACCAACCCCACCACUGUGCCUGGGACUAAAGGGUCUCCCAGGACAUGGAAACUGGCAUUUCAAAUCUGGCCAGUCUUGGACAAACAGGGACAGUUUGGUCACCAUGGGCUUAGAGAAGUUAGCUACCUUGCCCGAAGUCCCACAGCUAGAGAGUGGCUGCGUAAAGAUUUAAAAUCAAGUUUCCCUGAAACCAAAUGCAUCUUGGUAGAAAUGAACGCAAAAUAAGAAUCCAUAGACUCUGGCCAGUUCUCUCCCCUCUGCUUCAGACUCUUGGAAGACUUGCUUUGCUUAUUUCCUCAUUUUCAGUCCGUGUCAGAAAACCAAGUUCCCACAUAUAUGAAACAAGGAGAGGAGUAUCUACUUCCUAGGGUUGUUCUGGGCGUGGAGUGUUUACAAAGAACAAGAACAGUACCCAGUGUGGCAGGAGUUCAAGAAAACGGCAUUCCUUUCCUUUUACCUUGAUUUCACUGCCUGGUGAGCUACGCUGAGUUUUAGGGAUGAGAAAUGAGUGGCGCAGGGCUCCGAUCAUAGUAAGAAACUCAGCCGACCACAGUGGUGAGGGGCCCACAAGGGAGGUCCCCCAAGCAAUGAAGGAAGGAACCAAGGAAGAAGGGACAGUGGAAGGCAGACAGGGAGGCUCACUCCCAGCCUUCAAAAGGCUAUCAUGGGAAGGAAGAUACUCAAGCCUCAAGGCCUGUCCAGCACCAGAGGCAAAGUUACUGGGAGGCAAUUCUGGCUGGCUGUCAGAACUUGGCAAUGAGCAGAUCAAUGGAAGAAGCUUUCUCAGAGGGUGAUGAGAGAUUGGGUGACCAUCUGCCAGGGGAUUCUGCAAAGAGCAUCCCCACAGUGCAUGGGAUGCUGGGCUAGAUGAGCACUCAGCUGUCUCCACCCCUGGGACCCUCCAGCAGACGCUGGCUCUCUUCCCUACAACUGUAAAUAUUUGUGCAUUCCCAAGUUAUAAAGUGGAGCUCUUGGCUUACAAAGGUCAGGACGAAAGGCUUGUUUGGGGAACAGUUUGCUUAGUGUUUCUUUAGGCUGUGUUUCCAAGACUUCUUGUCAUCUGUGUUUAGAGUGGACACAAGCUGCAGGAUUUUUUUUUUUCCCGGUAGGGGGAGAAUUGUUCAAUAGGAAGGGAUGCAAAUGGAGAUCAUUCAAGAAUGCGGAAGCCAACCGGAAAGUCAAGAACACUUCUCUGUGGCUGUGGCAGUUUGUUAGAUCAGCAGACAGGCUCCCACCCUGCCCCUCCUGGUGUAGGUUCAGCCUUGGGGUCUUUUAUCCCAGUGCAGAGGGCUUCCUGGUAGGAGUGGGAGGGAUUACCCCACUCAGGGCAGUGAGACAACACCCCUGGGGUUUGGUCCAUCACCUGUUUUAUGGAGAUGGGAAGAUGGAGGAGGGCAGGGAGGGUUAUGGGGUAAGUCUGGAUUUGAUGCUUCUAGCUGGGUGCCACUGAGUUUCAGCUAUUUCCCCAGGAUCUGGGACAGGGUUGGGGGGGGGCGAUGAUAAGAUCACUCGGUGCUUGAACUUUGGGAAGGAGUCUUAGUUCCGGUGAGGAUCCCAGCAUCCUUUUGAUCAUUGUCUCUUUCCCUCACACUCGGGCUCCUCUACCAUGUUGUCAUCCUCCUAAAAACACAGAUCUGAGCUGGUCACUUUUCCAUACUUCUCAAAGGAGCCCCUCCCCACUGUCCACAAACAUGCCCUCCUUCCUCACAACCAUGCCCUUUCCCUUGGCCUAGAAUCUUCUACCCUUCUCAUGGUGCUUUAGCUUCCAUCUGCAAAUAGGGCUAAAAAUAUCUGUCUCAUAAGCUUGUUGUGGGGAUUCAAUGAGUUAAGAGAGGCAGAGCCUUUAGAAUAGCACCUGGCAUUUCGGAAUAGAUGUUUCUGUCCUUACUUUAUUAUGAUGGCCAACUCCUACUCACCCUGCAAGACCCUGGGUCACCUGCUCUGUGAAGCCUUCCUUGUCCUACCCAGACAAAGCUUUGCUUUUCGUUGGCUUUCAGUGUUUGUUUUUUGCUGUUUAUUUUGGGGUUCCAUGACACUUACAUAUUUACUUCUCAGGAUAUUUUUGUUGUAAUUAUUGGCCCAUGUACUGGUCUCUUCCACAAGAUGGGGGGCUCUUUGGAAUUGGCGGGAGCUUGUUGUAUCCAACUCUAUACUUACCGACUAGUACAGUCUCUGGCACCUGGCAAGGGCCUCAAAAAAUUGUUGUUGCCCAAAUGAAUGGAAGGAUGAAGAAAUUAGAAAAACUGUCUGGUGGUCCUGAGAACACCACCCCCCGGGGGUGCUUAUUAAGAUGAUAUUGUUUCAACCUCAAGAGACCCUCCUCCACUCUGCAUCCCCAUGCCCUUCUCCCCUCUCCUCCCCACGCUGUUGGACAGACAUCUCUUUUUCCCACUUCCCUCAAACGUUCUGGAUUGGAAAAUAGCAAUCGUUUAGGAAAAUGGGUAAUUACCAAGGGCUCAAUCACAGAAAACAUAGAACUCAUGGAGUCCUAGUGAAAUGUCAAGGAUUUGAUUAGAGCAAGCCCAGUCCCCGGUGACCUGAAGAAAAUAUGAUCUGUUUGUCCUAGAGGGGGAAGAAGGAUCACUCUUUAUUUACAAACCAGCCUGGCUAAUCCCUUCUGACAAUAUGGGAAGUCAUUCUGCUCUGCUGAAGCAUUAUUUCAGGGCUCCCUUAAGGAAGAACUAUCUUCUACUCAAUUAAAGCAAAGCCUGAACUUGCUCUGACCCCGUCAUUGCUUGGCCAGGAAAGCAGGCUCGUCUCCUUCCAGUGGGGUGGCUGCCCGGGCUUUGGACCGGCCUCUUUUUCAUCAGGAUGUCUCGAGCAUUUAUUGGGGUGAGAAACAGGGGAGUGGAAACCAUCCCUCUCCUGCUCCCUUCAGCCUGGCCCAGGCUUGGGUGCAAGGAGAGGAAGGGGGCGCUGCAAAAUGAAAUGAGUGGUGCAUCCCAGCACAGCGGCCCCUCGGGGCCACCCCUGCCCGCCCAGUUCCGUCUGGGGGCCCAGCAGUCAGGAUCGGUGAACAGCCCCCCAGUGGCCCCACGAGGCCCCCAAAAGGCUUUUAAGCCCCCACCUGUCUCACAGGAGAACUCAGCUUCCCCUGUCCUGUUCUAUGUAGGUCAGCGCCUCCAACUUAGAACCUGCCUGCCAAGUCCUGCCUCUGUCUGCAGGAACGAGCCCUAUCGUUAUUUAAUGGAGACCAAACCAAGAUGCAUGAUCUCACUGGAAAAGCACACACUCGGAGAACCUCACCUCCCCCUCUCCCAAGCUCCACCAACUCCUGGGGAAUCCGGAGGGAGAGGGCUUGGCCAGGCUGACUGCUAUAGGAAGGGGUACAUUAGCUGAAAUCUUCUGCAGAGGAAAGUGUAAUUUUCUUUCUGCUCUUCUCAAUUACAAAAUAAUAAGAUUGCUAAAAAUCCAAUAGUAUGAAUGUCAAUAUUGGCAGGGACAGCCACAGGAAAUUUAAUUGCACAAUGCGUACCAGUUAAAGAUGGUAUGAGCUCUUCUCGGCUUUUCUUAAUUCUAAUUAUGAUGAAAUUUACUGAUCUUACAGACUCACAAACAGAGGCUUGUCACCAGGCCAGGAAGGGGUCCGAACAAUGCUGGCUUCCUUUGCUGAGUCCCUGGCCUUUCCUCCUCCCUAAACAUCAUCUCUGAUUGGGGCUUUUAGCUGGUUGUGAACAUCAGCUCUUCAGUUUCUUUGCCAUGUCAGAGGACCAGAUGUUUUUUAUUUGAGAGCAAAUUGACACAUUAAAUUACACUGUGCAAACAUUAAAGCCAGCCGCGGGUAAACAGGCCGAGAUUCAUUGAAUUUUACGGGUCACAAUAAUGUUUAUGUAAUUUAACAAAUUCCUGCCCCGCUGCUGAGUCUAUCCAAGGAGUAUUAAUUUAAGAAACAUGGGACCUGCCCAGAAGCUCGCCAUCGCCAUCCACCCCACCUCUGCCUCUCAGAAACUCGCCAGGUUCUGAUGUGGACACGAGAACUCCCCGCACGGAGUGGGGAACCACUGCUAGGUCUCUGUCUUCACGACGUCCCCUAUCUGUCCACAAAUACGUAGGAAAUACUCUUUGGCACUGGACAUCUGUUGGGUUUGCCUGUCCAGGAUCCACGCAUCUCUUCUGUUGAUAACAGCCCUGGGACCUUCUGUCUCAUUCCCGGAUUCCAAGGCCCCUUUGGGGCAGAACCCACUCCAGCGCCCUACAAAUGGGCCCUUGACCCAGGCCUGGCCAAUCAGAUGAUUUCAUCCAGCCCCUGGCUGAUGAUUGGCUCAGCCAUGGGAAACGUCAUCAAACCCAGGCCAAUGAGCAUCGGCCCCCGCCCUGGCGCAGAAACAGGCAGAACCUGGCGCUCUCUUUCCACAGGUCUUGGUAAGUGGCAACGUGGAAAUCGGGAGUUGCUGGGCACCGUUUGCCCCCCGUUGGGAAGAGGCGGCCUGGGAAUUAGGCCCACACAGAAGGAAGUAAAAAUGCAGAAGGGCAAAUUCCCAUGAGAUUUUCUGAGCCCCUGGAUCCAGCUAUGUACAGCUGGGUUUUUUGGUUAUGUGAGCUGAUACAUUGCACUUUCUCGGUUAAGUGAGGUUGAGUUGAAUUUCUGACGCUUGCACAAAAGGGUCUUGCUCAAUGAGCCAAGAAAUGACCCCAUACAACUCUGUGGGACCAGGACCCCACCCCAACUUUUUCCGCAACACUGGCCUCAGCCCCCAUGGGUUCUCCUCUCAUCCCUGAUUCGCUAGUGCUUUCCUUGGAUGCCCUCCGUCCUCCACUCCAGUCAGGCUGGUUUCUUCCUCAGCGUGCCCUGCUUUUCUCUCCUCCCUGCUUUCCCUUAUUCUCCUCUUAUUGCCUGUAGUGUCAUUCCCCCCCCCCCCCCCCCCCCCAUCUAUCUGUCCAUCCUUCCAGGGCAGGCUGAAUUCUCCUCUGGAGGAGGAAGCCCCCUUCCCUGAGCUCCUGGAGGGCCUCACCUCUUGGCCCUUAAGUAUACGAAUUAAAAAACUUUGCGUAACAUUGAACUGCUUCUUGUAUUGUGUGGUUGUUUCUUCUCUCUCAUUUCUUCAUAGCCUAAAAACUUCCUGGUACAGUGCUGGGCACAUGAACUAAAAGAUUAUUGGUAUUUGAAAGUAUAUUAGGGGGUUUAAAGAUCACCCUGGCCCCACAAUUUACAAUUGAAGAAACUGAGGCCCAGAGAGUUGAAUUGACUUGCCCAAGGUCACACAGCUAGUUUAUGGCCAGACCGGAAGUGAAAUUCAUGCUGCAUAUUCUUUCCACAACACCAAGCCCCAUCAAUUUGGUUGAUUUAUUUUCCGGUUAAGUAUAUGUAUAGCUUAAAUUGGGUUGGCAUCUUACCAUCUAUUAAUGGUACUGAGUCAGCAAUGAGAACAAAGAAUAACGGGCUUUACCCAAUCAAAAGAUCUCGUUUCAACUUCCAGCUGGGCUGUGUGAACUUGGACAAGUCCCUUCAUGUCACAAGCUCAUUUUCACCACGGCAAAAAGGAGGGUCUUGACCUCGGUGUGCGGGCAAGAAAAGAUGGGCUAUUGGAAGCCCCUCGCAGUUUCGCAAACCCAGAGCCGAUGGAAGGAAGGCUUCUGAUUGGCCUGACUGGGGCCCUAUGCCUGUGAUGGAGCUAAUCAUCACCGUUCGGUAAGAUGGGGUGUUCUGAUUGGUCAGGCCAGGGUCGUGAGGUCAGGGAAAAGGCAGGAUCAGCCCCAGCCAAGCCUCGUGGAAAGAGCUCGCUCUAGGAAGGAAGGCUUCUACCCUCAGGGAAGGGCAGCUGGGCGGACUAAAACCCUAGGCGUCUUGACAGCGUGGCUUCUGAAGACGCGGCGUCUCUUCUUUUAAGAACACGAGUGGGGUACACACUGGGGUCGCCCUGGCCUUCUCCUGGGAUUUCCUGCACCGUGAGCCCUCGCGUCCCCCUGGCUGAGCAGAAAUGAUCACAACUCCUGCUUGGCACCCAGCCCCCGGCAGCCGCCCAGUGCGGGGGCAGCGAGCCAGCGGCGGUGUAACCAGAGGUCUCUGGGUCUCUAGUUUUCUCGGGAGAACAUAAUAACACGGUGCCGACCGCACAGGCGGUGAACCGGGGCCGGCGGCCGAGGCUUCUGAGGCUCGUGGUUUAGUUCCUGCCAGUGCCAACUCCUUUCUGUCUAACUUUAGAAAUCCAUGGUUGGCUUGCCUUGCAUCAAAGACGUCAAAGUACUCAACUCCAGAGGGUGUGUAUUUUUAAAACAACAACAACAAAAUCAAAACAAAACCAGAGAGAGAGGGAAAAAAAAAAAUCCACUGAUCUCUCAGAGUCAAGGAGGCUCAGCACACAGAUCCCCGAGCUUCACAGAAAUGCCCAGUGACUGUGGUCAGCCCGAAUUAAACAUAUCUACUCUGUUUUUAAAGCUAAAAAAAAUUCUAAAUGACCUUUAAUUAGUAGACCCAGUUCUUUCCUUCCCAUCAAAGCCAAGUGUUUCAUGCAGAGCUACAUUUCCUAAAAAGGCCUGCGGCUGGGAGCUAAGUUCCCUCACCUUGCACGUAGUAAUGCCUUGCCAAGGGCAGCCAGCCCUUCCCACUGGCUUUGAGGCUGUGCCGAGUGGGUGCUGGUGUGAGCACAGAGGGGUAAGAGUGUGCCCAGGACAGGAAACUGCAGCUGCAGCUACCGGAGGGCUGUAGUUGCCCAAAUCUGACCAAUCUGCUCUGCCCUCUUUCUAGCUGGGUGAACUUGAGCAAGUGCCCUCAGCUCUCCGGAGUCAGUUUUCCCAUUGAUAAAAUGGGGCUCCCAUUUCCCGGCCAGCCGGACCCUCUACCACAGGAUGAAAUUGUUGCUAAUCUACUGAAUGCCCUGAUUGCCCGUCCCCUCCCCUCCACUUCUUUUUAUUUAAACACUCCUCUCCCUUUUCUCUGUCUUGGUCCAUCUUCUCCGUCUCCUCUUCGUUGGGGUCCCUCCUCCCUUGUCCCGUGGGCACCUUGCUCGUCUGGUUUCCAAGCAAUGGAGAGCCCAAAGGGGCUGCUGGGACUAGGGAGCAGAGUGAGCUUCCCACAAGGGUGGAAUGAAUUUGGGUCGGCGUCGGCACUCACUUGGGGACUCCGUUUCUGUAUCUUUCCAGGGCAUCUGGCCUCCUCACCCCUCUUGGACACAAGGGCUGUAAGAAAGCAUUAGUCCUUGUAGAUCCAACUGGUGGCACAACCCUCCAGGAAGUUUUCUUCUGCAGUUUACCCAAGUUGGCCAGACAACUUAUCCUCUGAUUCGGGGGGGUCACACAUCAUCCCCAGGGAAUCAUGAUUUUUUUCUCAAGGCCAUAGCAGUGGAGGGAGAAGGAAGAAGCUUAAAAUAACACACACACACACACACACACACACACACACACAAAAGACUAGUGGGGAACACUGAUGGGCUCACACAGACUUCAGGAUUAAUUUAUAGAUGCUUCUUAAGCUGAAGUGACUCGUUGGGGCAGCUGCGGAGAGGCCGGGCCCACGAGCUCCCAGGGCCCCCAGUCAGCUGAGCCUUUCGUUCCUCAGCUCUGGCUCAUGGAGAGAAAAAAAAGCACUGACCUUGACCAUGGGACCCAGUGUGAUCAAGCCCUCGGCCAGUGCACUUGAGGCUCCUGGAAUGUCAGGGUCCUAAUGAUUUUUUUAAAUUCCCUUAGUUGUUUUAUUUUGUUUUGUAUUUCUAUUGAGAAAUUUAUAUACAAUGAAUGUACCUAUCUUUAAUGUGCAAUUCAAUAACUUUUGAUAAAUGUAUUACCAUGUCAUCCAAGAUAUAGAACAUAUCCAUUGCCCCAGAAAGUUCUGUUGUCUCCCUUCUAGUUAUACCCACCCCAGAGGUAUCACUCUUCUGGUUUCUAUCACCAACCUGGAUGUCACCUAUUCUAGAAUGUCAUACAAAAGGAAUCACACUACAUUUAUCAUUUUGUGUAUUGUUUCUGUCACUCAAUAUGUCUGUGAAGUUCCUCUCUCUUGUUGUGCAUCGGUAGUGGAUUCCGAUUUCGACCGAGUCUAGUUCCAGCACAUGAACACAGCACCAUGUUUUUAUCCAGUGCCUCUGCACUGGACUUUUCUGUUUCCAGCUUUUGGCUAGUGUGGAUAAAGCUACAAUGAGCAUUCAUGUAUAAGUCAUUCCUAUUUUUUUUUAAGAUUUUAUUUAUUUAUUUGAGAGAGAGAGAGAGAGAAAGAGUGAGCACAAG